rnacentral:rRNA from 1 species
GACGAACGCUGGCGGCGUGGAUUAGGCAUGCAAGUCGAACGGUAUCAUCCUUUCGGGGGUGAGAGAGUGGCGAACUGGUGAGUAACACGUAGGUUAUCUACCCUCAAGACGGGGACAACCCAGGGAAACUUGGGCUAAUACCGGAUGUGAGCAACUUUUAGUUGUUUGAAAGGUGGCGUAAGCUGUCGCUUGGGGAUGAGCCUGCGUCCUAUUAGUUAGUUGGUGAGGUAACGGCUCACCUAGGCAAUGGUAGGUAGGCGGCCUUAACGGGUGGUCGCCCACACUGGGAUUGAGAUACGGCCCAGACUCCUACGGGAGGCAGCAGUCGAGAAUAGUCUACAAUGGUCGGAAGACUGAUAGUGCGACGCCGCGUGAACGAUGAAUCCCUUCGGGGUGUAAAGUUCUUUUAUAUGUGAGCAGUGCUUCUUAUAUUAACAGUAUGGGGAGAGAGAUAUUAGCAUAUGAAUAAGCAACGGCUAACUCCGUG